UACGAAGGGGGCUAGCGUUGCUCGGAAUCACUGGGCGUAAAGGGUGCGUAGGCGGGUCUUUUAAGUCAGGGGUGAAAUCCUGGAGCUCAACUCCAGAACUGCCUUUGAUACUGAGGAUCUUGAGUUCGGGAGAGGUGAGUGGAACUGCGAGUGUAGAGGUGAAAUUCGUAGAUAUUCGCAAGAACACCAGUGGCGAAGGCGGCUCACUGGUCCGGUACUGACGCUGAGGUGCGAAAGCGUGGGGAGCAAACAGGG
rnacentral:rRNA from 1 species